AACACAGAGCGCCUUUUUGUUGUUGUUGUGCUAAGCUAAUAGGCAGAAUGCUACAGGCAUAGCUCUAAAGAAUGUAGCAUCAUGGGCAGUGUAGUCCGUGCUGCAGGGAGAAUGGACUGCCAUACACGUUAUGUGUCUGUGAGCGAGGGAGGGAGAGAAAGGAAAAGUCCGAGCUGUCACGGAGCAAAAACGGGAGCUGGAAGCAUGUAAAUAUAAUAAUAACCACUGCAGCUAAACAGAGAGCCUGAUGAGCCCAGCUGUAAUAAGACUCAACUGUACACUGUGUUCCUGUUUUCCUCCGAAACAAUAAGUUCCGUUGGAGCAGCCUUUCAACGCCUCUCUCUGUCUCUCGCUAGCAAAGUUGAUCCAGACAACAAAGUAAAGCUAGUUUUCGGCUACGACCCCGACAGGGAACCGGACGUAUUAGCCAGAGGUCCCUUUACUACGGUUCGGAGCCGCAGACCUUCAGUAACAAAAGUUCCCCAUGUUCAGUGUGGCUGUGAGCGUCCCACUCAAUAAAGACAAGUUUGAUAUGAGCAAAGUCACUGAUGAUGGUGAAGCUGUGAGGACGAAGAUUCUAAACUGUGAUGUAUACAUAGGUAACAGAGUGGUGGCAGCCACAGUGCUGAGAUGGCGCAAUGUUCUCUAUCAGUGUCCUAAUGAACGUGUACAGUGGCGUGAUGUCCCAAAAAAAUGUAAUAGAAAGGAGAUAAAUACAUGGGCUGAUAUUGACAAAUUUUGUGAUGUACAAUCUAUUGAAAGAAUUCUGUUUGCUCAGGCUGCUCAUGCUGAGUCCCGAACCCUGGACUAUUUCAAAGAUAAGGACAAAAUUAGGAAAAACUCCAAAGAUGAUCUGAUGGUUUUCUACGUCCGUGCCUCCCCAUGUGGUGAAACAUGUACCAACCCAAACAACGAUCGGAAUAUUCUCAGUAAAAUACAAGCAAUAACGAACUGGACGAAUUAUGUUGUUGUGUUUUCAGAUGUAUUUAGACCUGAUGAUAAGAAUAAUAAUCAGGAUCGUGUGAAUGAACUGCGUGGAUCACUUGAGAGGCUUGGGGACGCAAUCGCAGAUCAAGGGCCAAAGGUCAAAGAUAAAAGGUCAAAUGGUCUCCAGCAUAUAUUCCGAUGCUACAGGCAGCCAGAAAUGGAUGAAAUGAAGUGUCU
ensembl:lncRNA